rnacentral:rRNA from 1 species
UACGUAGGUGGCAAGCGUUGUCCGGAUUUACUGGGCGUAAAGGAUGCGUAGGCGGACAUUUAAGUCAGAUGUGAAAUACCCCGAGCUUAACUUGGGUGCUGCAUUUGAAACUGGGUGUCUAGAGUGCAGGAGAGGUAAGUGGAAUUCCUAGUGUAGCGGUGAAAUGCGUAGAGAUUAGGAAGAACACCAGUGGCGAAGGCGACUUACUGGACUG